UUUCUUAUCAGAAGAAAACAUGCCGAGAGGAGAGGGGAGGACCUUAGUAUGAAAACAUUCCUGCGCAACUCACACUUGGGAAAGAACACCAUCAUUUUGAGAUUUGUAUUUUAUUUACAAGUAAAUGAAGAAAGUCUCCUAUAACCUCUAAUUUGGGGUGAGAAGGGCAAUAUAAAGAAGUAGCUGCUGGCUCCACAGUGCUGUGUGAAAGCCGUCCCUGCCACUGUUUCUUUAAAUGAUGAUUUUCUUAUUUAAAAAAAAAAAAAAGAACCCACGUAAUU